AUUGAACGCUGGCGGAAUGCUUUACACAUGCAAGUCGAACGCAUCAGUAAUUAGUGGAAAGCCUCUUGAGGCGGGGAAGGGGAGAAAUCUCUGGAGCCGUGGAUGGGGGUCGGAAGCUUGACGCUGGUGAGUGGCGGAUGGGUGAGUAACACGUCGGUGACCUGCCCCAAAGUGGGGAAUAACCGCCCGAAAGGGCAGCUAAUUCCGCAUGUGGUCUAUCGUUCGCUCGAUAGAUUAAAGGCGCAAGCCGCUUUGGGAGGGGCUCGCGGCCGAUUAGCUAGUUGGUAGGGUAAUGGCUUACCAAGGCGAUGAUCGGUAGCUGGUCUGAGAGGAUGAUCAGCCACACUGGCACUGACACACGGGCCAGACUCCUACGGGAGGCAGCAGCAAGGAAUAUUGCACAAUGGGCGAAAGCCUGAUGCAGCAACGCCGCGUGGGCGAUGAAGGCCUUCGGUUGUAAGCCUUUCUGCGAGAAGAGCAA
rnacentral:rRNA from 1 species